CCGGCUGCUGCGAAGGAACCUUUUCCUCCGUCCCGUCGGCCGACUUCAACCUUGGCGGGAUCCGCUUCAGUUUUUGCUAGAAGCCCGGGAUAAAAGCCGGCGCGCGCCGUCCAGAGGCACAGCUAAGCACGCAAUGGAUCAGAAACCCUUGGGAAUCUAUAGGGAAUCCUCUGGUCAUCCACCAACUAAGUCCUGUACACCUUCUGCCACCUUGCUUCACAGGUUUGGGGAGAACGUUCUGGAUGUAAAAGACAGCAAGGAAGAAGAGUGGAGGAUUAAGAAAGCGAUGUAGCGCCAAUGCUUAAUAAAUGCUCCUCCACCUUUCGUUCACGGCAUCUGUGCUUUCUGGGUGGGGUCAUGUGUUGGUUUCAAUGUUGUAUGAUACCCUCAGGAAACCUACCUUUUUCCUCCCACCCCAUCCUUGAGUUGUAAG